GGAGGCGAGCAGUAGGGAAUCUUCCGCAAUGGACGAAAGUCUGACGGAGCAACGCCGCGUGAGUGAUGAAGGUUUUCGGAUCGUAAAACUCUGUUGUUAGGGAAGAACAAGUACCGGAGUAACUGCCGGUACCUUGACGGUACCUAACCAGAAAGCCACGGCUAACUACGUGCCAGCAGCCGCGGUAAUACGUAGGUGGGCAAGCGUUGUCUCGGAAUUAUUGGGCGUAAAGCGCGCGCAGGCGGGUUCCUUAAGUCUGAUGUGAAAGCCCACGGCUCAACCGUGGAGGGUCAUUGGAAACUGGGGAACUUGAGUGCAGAAGAGAAGAGUGGAAUUCCACGUGUAGCGGUGAAAUGCGUAGAGAUGUGGAGGAACACCAGUGGCGAAGGCGACUCUUUGGUCUGUAACUGACGCUGAGGCGCGAAAGCGUGGGGAGCAAACAGGAUUAGAUACCCUGGUAGUCCACGCCGUAAACGAUGAGUGCUAAGUGUUAGAGGGUUUCCGCCCUUUUAGUGCUGCAGCAAACGCAUUAAGCACUCCUCCUGGGGAGUACGGCCGCAAGGCUGAAACUCAAAAGGAAUUGACGGGGGCCCGCAACAAGCCGGUGGAGCAUGUGGUUUAAUUCGAAGCAACGCCGAAGAACCUUACCAGGUCUUGACAUCCUCCUGACAACCCUAGAGAUAGGGCGUUCCCCUUCGGGGGACAGGAUGACAAGGUGGUGCAUGGUUGUCGUCAGCUCGUGUCGUGAGAUGUUGGGUUAAGUCCCGCAACGAGCGCAACCCUUGAUCUUAGUUGCCAGCAUUCAGUUGGGCACUCUAAGGUGACUGCCGGUGACAAACCGGAGGAAGGUGGGGAUGACGUCAAAUCAUCAUGCCCCUUAUGACCUGGGCUACACACGUGCUACAAUGGAUGGUACAAAGGGCUGCGAGACCGCGAGGUUAAGCGAAUCCCAUAAACGACCAUUCUCAGUUCGGAUUGCAGGCUGCAACUCGCCUGCAUGAAGCCGGAAUCGCUAGUAAUCGCGGAUCAGCAUGCCGCGGUGAAUACGUUCCCGGGCCUUGUACACACCGCCCGUCACACCACGAGAGUUUGUAACACCCGAAGUCGGUGGGGUAACCUUUUGGAGCCAGCCGCCUAAGGUGGGACAGAUGAUUGGGGGAAGUCG
rnacentral:rRNA from 2 species